rnacentral:rRNA from 1 species
AACUUUCAACAACGGAUAUCUUGGUUCUCGCGACGAUGAAGAACGCAGCAAAGCGCGAUAGCUAGUGCAAAGUGCAAGGCCCAGUGAGUCAUCGAGAUUUUGAACGCAAAUGGCGGCUAGGCGUGAGAGUCUAGCCAUGUGUGGUCGAGUGACG